rnacentral:lncRNA from 1 species
GGAGCUUGCGAAAGAUGACCUUUCCCACAAAACUAUCCAAGAGCAAGCCUAGUAGAAAACCCUGAAUAGAAAAAUCUUUAUUCAUUGGAGCAAGAGCGUUUAUAAGAUCGUCCAAGGAAGGCACACCGUUUGUUAUUUAUGUGGCUCCAACUACCAGGGAGAAGAUCUUGACAGCAAGUAUACCUGAGCAAUAUAAGGAUUUUAAAGACAUGUUUCAAAAGAAAAAUGCCGACAUGCUACCAGAACACCGACCAUAUGAUU